ACGGGACUCUUCGGAGUUCAGUGGCGGACGGGUGAGUAACGCGUGAGAAUCUGCCUAGAGGAUGGGGACAACCACGGGAAACUGUGGCUAAUACCCAAUGAGCGGAGACGUUAAAGAUUUAUCGCCUCUAGAGGAGCUCGCGUCUGAUUAGCUAGUUGGUGGGGUAAAAGCCUACCAAGGCGACGAUCAGUAGCUGGUCUGAGAGGACAACCAGCCACACUGGGACUGAGACACGGCCCAGACUCCUACGGGAGGCAGCAGUGGGGAAUUUUCCGCAAUGGGCGAAAGCCUGACGGAGCAAUACCGCGUGAGGGAGGAAGGCUCUUGGGUCGUAAACCUCUUUUCUCAGGGAAGAAGAAAGUGACGGUACCUGAGGAAUCAGCCUCGGCUAACUCCGUGCCAGCAGCCGCGGUAAUACGGAGGAGGCAAGCGUUAUCCGGAAUUAUUGGGCGUAAAGCGUCCGUAGGUGGCUCUUCAAGUCUGCUGUCAAAGAGUGGGGCUUAACUCCAGAAAGGCAGUGGAAACUGAAAGGCUAGAGAGCCGUAGGGGUAGAGGGAAUUCCCGGUGUAGCGGUGAAAUGCGUAGAGAUCGGGAAGAACAUCGGUGGCGAAAGCGCUCUACUGGACGGUAUCUGACACUGAGGGACGAAAGCUAGGGGAGCGAAUGGGAUUAGAUACCCCAGUAGUC
rnacentral:rRNA from 1 species